UACGUAGGGGGCAAGCGUUGUCCGGAUUUAUUGGGCGUAAAGAGCGUGUAGGCGGCCUGAAAGGUCAGCUGUGAAAACUCGAGGCUCAACCUCGAGACGUCGGUUGAAACCAUCUGGCUAGAGUCCGGAAGAGGAGAGUGGAAUUCCUGGUGUAGCGGUGAAAUGCGCAGAUAUCAGGAAGAACACCCGUGGCGAAGGCGGCUCUCUGGGACGGUACUGACGCUGAGACGCGAAAGCGUGGGGAGCGAACAGG
rnacentral:rRNA from 1 species